rnacentral:snRNA from 1 species
GUGCUCGCUUCGGCAGCACAUCUACUAAAACUGGAGCGAUAUAGAGAUUAGCAUGGCCUCUGUGCAAGGAUAACACUCAAAUUCGCAAAGCGUUCCAUAUUAAA